rnacentral:rRNA from 1 species
AAAUGAAUAGACGGGAGCCCGCACAAGCAGUGGAGUAUGUGGUUUAAUUCGACGCAACGCGAAGAACCUUACCAGAGCUUGACAUCCACAGAAGUCCUGAUAACGAAGGACGUGCCCUUCGGGGAACUGUGAGACAGGUGGUGCAUGGUUGUCGUCAGCUCGUGUCGUGAGAUGUUGGGUUAAGUCCCGCAACGAGCGCAACCCUUACGGUCAGUUGCUACGAAAGAGCACUCUGGCCGGACUGCCGUUGACAAAACGGAGGAAGGUGGGGACGACGUCAAAUCAUCAUGCCCCAUACGCCCUGGGCUACACACGUACUACAAUGGCGCAAACAAAGGGUCGCGACCCCGCGAGGGUGAGCCAAUCCCAUAAAAGGCGUCCCAGUUCGGAUUGCAGGCUGAAACCCGCCUGCAUGAAGUUGGAAUUGCUAGUAAUCGCGAAUCAGCAUGUCGCGGUGAAUACGUUCCCGGGCUUUGUACACACCGCCCGU